rnacentral:rRNA from 1 species
CACGCGGGGGCGGCCUAUCAUGCAAGUCGAAGCGGUACCAAGAGUAAGAGCCUUGGCUCGUUCCUGCCGGGUAGCGGCGGGACAGGGUGAGUAACAUGUAGGCAACCUGCCUGUACGACUGGGAUAACUCCGGGAAACCGGAGCUAAUACCGGAUACGUUUUUCAAACCGCAUGGUCUGAAACAUAAAGACCUUUGGUCUCGUACAUAUGGGCCUGCGGCUCAUUAGCUAGUGGGGGGGGUAACGGCCUACGCAGGCAACCAUGCCUAGCCGACCUGAAAGGGUGAUCGGCCUCACUGGGACUGACACACGGCCCUCACUCCUACGGGAGGCAGCAGUAAGGAAUCUUCCUCAAUGGACGAAAGUCUGACCGAUCCCCGCCGCGUGAACAAUGAAGGUUUUCGGAUCGUAAAUUUCUGUUGUUAGGGAAGAACCGCCGGGAUGACCUCCCGGUCUGACGGUACCUAACAAAAAAGCCCCGGCUAACUACGUGCCAACAGCCGCGGUAAUACGUAAGGGGCAAGCGUUGUCCGGAAUUAUUGGGCGUAAAGCGCGCGCAGGCGGCUUCUUAAGUCAGGAGUGAAAGCCCACGGCUCCACCGUGGAAGGCCACUUGUGAAACUGGGGAGGCUUAGAGUGUCAGGAGAGGAGAUGCGGAAUUUCCACGUGUUUAGCGGUGAAAAAUGCGUAAAGAUGUGGAGAAACACCCGUGGAGAAGGCGGCUCUCUGGACAAGAAACUGACCCAGAGGCGAGAAAGCGUGGGGAGCGAACAGGAUUAAACACCCGUGAGUAGUCACACGCCGUAAACGUUGAGUGACUAGGUAGUUGGGGACUCCAAUCCUAAGGGUCCGCAACUAACCCAAUUUAAGCACUCACCCCUGGGGAGAACAGGGGCCGCAAGGCUGAAAUUCAAAGGAAUGGACGGGGACCCGCACAAGCGGUGGAGCAUGUGGUUUAAUUCGAAGCAACGGGAAGACCCUUCCCAGUGCUUGACAUCCCGGUGACCCUCAUAGAGAUAGGAGUUCUUUUGGGAGCAGCGGUGACAGGUGGUGCAUGGUUGUCGUCAGUUCGUGUCGUGAGAUGUUGGGUUAAUUCCCGCAAGGAGCGCAACCCUUUUCUUUAGUUGCCAGCAUUCAGUUGGGCACUCUAGGGAGACUGCCGUCGACAAGACGGAGGAAGGUGGGGAUGACGUCAAAUCAUCAUGCCCCUUAUGUCCUGGGCUACACACGUGCUACAAUGGAUGGAACAAACGGAGCAAGCCGAACGUCGCGAGAGUGCGCCAAUCCUUUAAAACCAUUUUCAGUUCGGAUUGCAGGUUGCAACUCGCCUGCAAGAAGCCGGAAUUGGUAGUAAUUGCGGAUCAGCAUGCCGCGGUGAAUACGUUUCCCGGGUCUUGUACACACCGCCCGUCACACCACGAGAGUUUGCAACACCAAGAAAGUCGGUGAGGUAACCGCAAGGAGGCCAGCCGCCCGAAGUGGCCGUUGCCGGAGUGUGCUUUUUU